UACGGGAGGCAGCAGUGGGGAAUAUUGCACAAUGGGCGCAAGCCUGAUGCAGCCAUGCCGCGUGUAUGAAGAAGGCCUUCGGGUUGUAAAGUACUUUCAGUCGUGAGGAAGGUGUUAAGGUUAAUAACCUUAGCAAUUGACGUUAGCGACAGAAGAAGCACCGGCUAACUCCGUGCCAGCAGCCGCGGUAAUACGGAGGGUGCGAGCGUUAAUCGGAAUUACUGGGCGUAAAGGGCACGCAGGCGGUUAAUUAAGUUGGAUGUGAAAUCCCCGGGCUUAACCUGGGAAUGGCAUUCAAGACUGGUUAGCUAGAGUCUUGUAGAGGGGGUAGAAUUCCAUGUGUAGCGGUGAAAUGCGUAGAGAUGUGGAGGAAUGCCGGUGGCGAAAGGCGGCCCCUGGACAAAGGACUGACGCUCAUGUGCGAAAGCGUGGGGAGCAAACAGGAUUAGAUACC
rnacentral:rRNA from 1 species